UUGGGAUGUAGCUCAGUGGUAAAGUGCUUGCCUGGCUUGCAUGAGGCCCUGGGUUCAAUCUCCAUUACCAAA
rnacentral:tRNA from 1 species